rnacentral:rRNA from 1 species
UACGAAGGGGGCUAGCGUUGCUCGGAAUCACUGGGCGUAAAGCGCACGUAGGCGGAUCGAUCAGUCAGGGGUGAAAUCCCCAGGGCUCAACCCUGGAACUGCCUUUGAUACUGUCGAUCUGGAGUAUGGAAGAGGUGAGUGGAAUUCCGAGUGUAGAGGUGAAAUUCGUAGAUAUUCGGAGGAACACCAGUGGCGAAGGCGGCUCACUGGUCCAUUACUGACGCUGAGGUGCGAAAGCGUGGGGAGCAAACAGG